rnacentral:lncRNA from 1 species
AAAAUAAAAUUUCCCAAUGUUUACUAAAGAUGACUAUUUAGUUAAUAAUUCUAUAAAUCCCAUUUUUAGUGCGUGAAACGACUAUUACCCAAAAGGCAACAAACAAGUAUAAAAGGCAAAGGAACUGUUUUCCUGUCUCAGAAGAAAAUAUAGUCCUUGAAAAGUUUUCCAGACAAUGAAAAGCUCUGCCAAAGGAAUGUUGGAGGGACAGUUAUUCUCUCACCCUCAGGAAUAAUUAUCCUUAGCCUUGGCAGCAAUUUCAUGAGUCUAAGAAGUUAGGAGAGCCUUGGUUCAGAUCCUUGUUGGAAGUAGCAUCUGAAGCAGUCUCUGGGAGGAGAAAAUGACCACUGCCAGAAGGAUGAAUCUAAGCCCUGGGCUGGUUUGCCAGAAUGCAUGGACCUUGGACGAAUCCUUGGACAACAUAGAGAAAAAGCAAAGCAGGGGGAGGCUGAACAUCUUUUUCAAGAUUGCAGCUAUUGUCCCAAAAACUUUUGGAGUAACUUCUUUGGAAUUUCCUCCAGUCAGUAAAACAUUCUUUUGAAUACCUUCAACAGUAUAAGUAUUUUGCCUUUGAAGGUGGAU